GACGUAGGGUGCAAGCGUUGUCCGGAUUUAUUGGGCGUAAAGAGUUCGUAGGCGGCUUGUUGCGUCGACUGUGAAAACCCGCGGCUUAACCGCGGGCUUGCAGUUGAUACGGGCAGGCUAGAGUUCGGUAGGGGAGACUGGAAUUCCUGGUGUAGCGGUGAAAUGCGCAGAUAUCAGGAGGAACACCGGUGGCGAAGGCGGGUCUCUGGGCCGAUACUGACGCUGAGGAGCGAAAGCGUGGGGAGCGAACAGG
rnacentral:rRNA from 1 species